GAACGCGAAGAACCUUACCUGGCCUUGACAUAGUAGGACUUUCCAGAGAUGGAUUGGUGCCUUCGGGAAUCUACAUACAGGUGCUGCAUGGCUGUCGUCAGCUCGUGUCGUGAGAUGUUGGGUUAAGUCCCGCAACGAGCGCAACCCUUUUCCUUACUUGCCAGCAUUUCGGAUGGGAACUUUAAGGAUACUGCCAGUGACAAACUGGAGGAAGGCGGGGACGACGUCAAGUCAUCAUGGCCCUUACGGCCAGGGCUACACACGUGCUACAAUGGUCGGUACAAAGGGUUGCUACACAGCGAUGUGAUGCUAAUCUCAAAAAGCCGAUCGUAGUCCGGAUCGCAGUCUGCAACUCGACUGCGUGAAGUCGGAAUCGCUAGUAAUCGCGGAUCAGAAUGCCGCGGUGAAUACGUUCCCGGGUCUUGUACACACC
rnacentral:rRNA from 1 species